UCGGCCCGAAAGCUCUAGAAUGCACCCCUCUUCCUCCCCGGGGCCUUCCACCUCCGCGAGUUUUAUGACUUAAAAAAGCCCACAGGCUGGUCUGAAGAGGAAGACAAACAUAAAGAUGAAGUGCUUAAUUCAAGGUCACACAAUGUCGGGGAUGGACCUCCAGAUUUCCUUACUGGUGAGACGUGGUCUUGUAACACAGUGGUUAAGAAUGUGACUUUGGAGCCAGCCUGCUAGGGGCUGAAUUCUGACUCAGCCAUUUACUAACUGUGUGACCUUAGGUCACAGAAUUUUCCACACUCCUUGACAGAGGUGCUUAACCCUUAUCCAUCAGCAUUCUCAGACAGCACCUCCGGUUAGGGACAGUAUCUGACCGUCCGACAUCCCUGCAGCCCCCAUGUGUCACACAGACUCAGCCUCAGGUAGAUGGUUUCCGUAGAUGGUGGCUUUCUUUGGACCCUUGACAUCAACCAGUUACUAUUUGACUCUUCUGCAGAACCCCAUGUUGACCCCUGCUUUGAGGUGGCAGAGUUAACACUACUCUUCGUUAUAAGCUCUCGUCUGGGGCAACUCAGAAGAACGGGACCAGAUGUGCAGAGGUAAUGAAUACCAGGGAAUCAGGAAACCACUGGAUCAGUUCUUUGAGCCACAGAACAACACUCAUCCCAGCAGCUGGGAAGCUAUCUGCAAAAGUCCAUCUGCAGAAAGGGCUUCCUGGUCUUGCGUGUGGCUGGGCCAUUUCUCUGGAUGCAGGUUUUUCAUUAUACAGUCUUCUCAAAGAACCACCUGCUCUCAACACCUUCUCGGUGACUCCAUUUCCCCUCCUCUGGGCUCCUGGAAUGCCACAAUGGCCCCACCUUAGCCAGGCAGCUGUGAUGAGAGGUGUUGACCCAACUGCCUCUCUGCUGGCUCACUGAAUCAGGUGGAAGGGGCUGGGGACAGCACAGUCUUGCAUUGUGGUUGGGGACCUGGGCCAUCCAGAGGCAGGACUGUCCAAAGGCAGGGUACUGCUGGGAUUCCGCCAGGCACUGGGUGAUGCAUGGCAUAGGGAGCUGAAGAGGGACAGGCUCUUGGCCAGGAAAAACAGCCCCAGAGCCACAGGUGUGCCAUCGAGUCUUCCUCCUCUCCCAUCCUUAAUCACUCCUGUUUGGUGACAGCACACAGCUAGGCCUGGAGCCCAGCAAAGAGCCCCUGGGUCCCAGAGGAAGUUGUUCUGGGGGCUGGAGACAAUCACAAAUGCCAGGUUUGUGAGCCCCAGACUCUGGUUCAUAGCAAGAGGCAGACUUGUGAACAAACCACCAGAUCACACCGUAAAACACGCUCAACGAGGAGUGGGUGCCCUUUCUAGGGACAGGCAGAAGGCUCCAUGGAGUGACCUUUGAAUGGGGACAUAAAAGUGGAUCCCUUCAACAGCCCCUGCACAGCCCCAAGUCAGGCCUCCAGCCCUUGGACUCACAGAUGUCCUCUGUAGACGACUGGAUGUCCUCCCGUGCUACCCUUUACCCCUGCAGCGAGGGGCACAGAGCCAGAGCCCUCCAGGUCCUCACCACUGGCAUCACCAACAUAGUGGACAUUUUCCCUCUCAGAAUGAAAAGGGAGUGAAAUUUCCCGUGAUCUUUCCACAAAUGACCAGCUUGGGGAGUGGGAGAGGAAGUGCUGCAGUGCCUGGGGAAGGGGCCCUGGAACAGUUCCUGGAAAUGGAGAGGGGUGGAUAGGGUGGAGACAAUGCUCAUGGAGUGCAGUAUGGGGCCUACCCAGAGUUGCUUGGCCACCCCUCUGCCUCUGAAUCAGGGGUGAUCAAUGAAGGAAAAUUACUGCAGCAGUUGAGUCCAUGUAAGAUGAUUGUGCACGUGUGUGUGUGUGUGUGUGUGUGUGUGUGUGUCCUCACUCACUUAAAAAAGACCAUUUCUGUGCAUUCUUUAUGCUGGAACCCUCCUCUGCCUCCCUCUCCAGGAAAUCCCAUAGGAUCCCAUACCUGCUUUAGAAUGUGUGUGAGACACUUCCCAGUGCCUGGCAUGUGGUAGGAGCUCAGUACAUGUAAACUGUUUUCCUUUGACCACUCAAAGUAGUCACUUGUUGGGGAGGCCAAUGGCGGCUUCCCCGGUCUCUGAGCUGAUGGGCGUCUGGUCCCUGCCUCCCCUUCCUUCACUGGCUGAUGACAAAUACCUGAAUGUCAUCACAUCCUCCGUGUCCUCAUCUGUUAUUCUGGAACACAGGCCAGGGAGGGUACAGGGUAGUCCCCCUUCAACAGAGGCUGGCCUUUCUUGGGAUGUGGGCUGGCUGGUGUUGGUCCAAGGAUGGAUGCAGAGGGUGAGGCACCCAUCCUGCUAGUCCGGCCGGAUGCUGGCAGGAGGGCGGGGUGAGGAGGGGCGGAGCUUCCAGAACAAAGGAGAAUGGGGAGCCCAGGGGCCAGCCUAGGCAUCAAAAAGGCUCUGCAGAGUGAACAGGCCACAGCACUGCCUGCCUCUGCCCCAGCAGUCAGCCAGCCGACCGCGCCUGCUCCCUCCUGCUUGCCCAAGGCCGGGCAAGUCAUCCCCACUCUGCUUCGAGAGGCCCCGUUUUCCAGCGUGAUUGCGCCGACACUGCUCUGUGGGUUUCUCUUCUUGGCGUGGGUUGCUGCUGAGGUUCCAGAGGAGAGCAGCAGGAUGGCCGGGAGCGGAGCCAGGAGUGAGGAAGGCCGCCGGCAGCAUGCCUUCGUCCCGGAACCUUUUGAUGGGGCCAAUGUCGUCCCAAACCUCUGGCUGCACAGCUUUGAAGUCAUCAAUGACCUCAACCAUUGGGACCAUAUCACCAAGCUAAGGUUCCUGAAAGAGUCCCUCAGAGGAGAGGCCCUGGGUGUCUACAAUAGGCUCAGUCCCCAGGACCAGGGAGACUAUGGGACUGUGAAAGAGGCCCUCCUGAAGGCCUUUGGGGUCCCUGGGGCUGCCCCCAGCCACCUGCCCAAAGAGAUCGUCUUUGCCAACAGCAUGGGUAAGGGCUACUAUCUCAAGGGGAAGAUUGGCAAAGUGCCCGUGAGGUUCCUGGUGGACUCUGGGGCCCAGGUCUCUGUGGUCCACCCAAACUUGUGGGAGGAGGUCACUGAUGGCGAUCUGGACACCCUGCAGCCCUUUGAGAAUGUGGUAAAGGUGGCCAAUGGUGCUGAAAUGAAGAUCCUGGGUGUCUGGGAUACAGCGGUGUCCCUAGGCAAGCUGAAGCUGAAGGCACAGUUCCUAGUGGCCAAUGCGAGUGCCGAGGAAGCCAUCAUUGGCACUGAUGUGCUCCAGGACCACAAUGCUAUCCUGGACUUUGAGCACCGCACAUGCACCCUGAAAGGGAAGAAGUUUCGCCUUCUGCCUGUGGGAGGGUCCCUGGAAGAUGAGUUUGACCUGGAGCUCAUAGAGGAGGACCCCUCCUCAGAAGAAGGGCGGCAGGAGCUAUCCCACUGAGAAGCCACCUUUUCUUUAACCUCCUAAAUAUUGGUGGGAAGACCCACCGCUGUGGGGGGGGUUGCAUAUCCUCAUGGGGGUCACUGGGCUUGGCCAGUCUGCUUAUCAACUCUUGCUCUUCUCUCCCCUUUGCCUCCCUCUGCAGGGGCCUUAAUCUGCCCCUGGUAGGGGAGGCUUCCACUGAACAGGCACAGGUGAGGGAGAGCAGGCUGGCUUAGAGGGACAGGGUCCCCAUGGUCAUCAAGCUGCUGUUGAUGACAAAGACUCAAAGGCUGGAAGAGCUCCCAAGGAAGCUAGAAAUGCUUGUCUUUGAAAGAACUGUGGGACCCCUUCAGAUUCCCUGAGGUAUGGCUUGGUCACUCUCAGGUCCUCAAAGCCUGUCUUAGUUGGGCUGGGUCCUAGCUGCAGGGUCUUUGUGAGGGUCACAGUUGCUCUGGGACACCUCCCUGAAGAGCCUUUCCACCUGUACAAUCGUAUUUUCUUUCUGUCAUUUGCUUUGAAGCCCAUUGUGCCUUAUGCCAAUAAUUCAAUUGCUGCAAACACCAAUAAAGAU
rnacentral:lncRNA from 1 species